rnacentral:tRNA from 1 species
GCGCCCGUGGUGGAAUUUGGUAUACACACCGGAUUCGCAUUCCGGCGGUCGGUAGUAGAAGCUACCGUCCAUGCGGGUUCGACUCCCGCCGGGCGCA